AACUUUCCUGGAGUACACGUGUACACAUUGCACUUCAAGCAGCAAGAGCAUUAGAGUACUUGCAUGAAGUUUGUCAACCACCUAUUGUCCACCUGAACUUCAAGUCCACUAAUGUUCUCCUUGAUGAUGAACUUGCUGUACAUAUGUCAGAUUGUGGUUUGGCACCUCUGAUGUCAUGUGAUUCCAUAAGACAGUUGCAAGGAUCCGGCUAUGGUGCUCCUGAGCUUGAAUUGGGAAACUAUACUUGUCAGAGUGAUGUUUAUAGCUUUGGAGUUGUUAUGCUAGAACUUCUCACAGGAAGACAAUCUUACGACAGGUUAAUUUCAUUUUGACAGAUAUAUUUUAACACCUUGCUAGUUGUUAUUGUUGCAACUACAUAUUUUUCUAAAAUUAUACGACUCCUGACUUUGAGCCCAUUAAAAUAUGAUUUCCAGGUCCCGGCCUAGAGGGAGCAGUUGCUGGUUCGAUGGGCUAUUCCACGGCUGCAUGAUAUAGAUGCAUUAUCAAGAAUGGUUGAUCCUUCCCUAAAUGGUUGUUAUCCAUCCAAGUCUUUGUCUCGGUUUGCUGACAUAAUUUCCUUGUGUAUUCAGUCGGAACCUGAAUUCAGGCCACCAAUGUCCGAAAUCGUGCAGAAUCUUCUGCAGAUGAUCUAAAGAUAUCAUCAAGACUGAGUCUUUUAGCAUAGAUGGCAAGGAUUCAAGGAGAAAUCUUUACACAACAUUUUCAUUAAGCUCAAAUAUUGUGUGCUAACAUGAGUAAUGUAAUCUAUUGUAAUGUAAAUAGCAUUAUUAU